rnacentral:tRNA from 1 species
GGGGAUGUAGCUCAGUUGUACAGCGCCUGCCUGGUAAGCAUAGGGCCUGGGUUUGAUUCCCAGUACCUA